GUUCCCAUCGAUUAGUGGUCAGAUCAUCACGUUGUGGUCGUAGGUGAAGCGAAGUACUUAACCGUGGAGACGGGGGCUCGACUCCCCCUGGGAACA